AGUUUUUAUUUUUGUUUUUAUUUUUUUCAUUAGCUUUUAUCCUAUGGUCCUAGAUGGUCUGUACAUCGUGCCUGCUGUAGCCUGGUUCAGUAUGACAUAUCGCUGCCUGUGAACGGGCUUGACGGUGCUGACGGACUGAAGUGUAUGAUAUCAAGGUCAAAACUUUUAAAACAAAAUUUUUUUACUGACUUCCACUUCUGUGGUGCUUUGCUGGAUACUCACAGCAAUUUGUGUGCUAAAGAUUAAAAAAAAAAAAAAAAACACAGCGAAAGCUGAGAAGAACUUUAACUGAAAAAACUGAUCUAAUGAUUCAUGAUAAAUGGACACCCUGAUUUCCUGCUAGGCAGGCAGCGUAUUGCUUCUGUAUAGAAGUGCAUUUAUCUUGUGUUCAGCUCUUACAUCAAUUUACAUCAUGUCUACGAACAAUGGGACAAGAACAGAACUCAGCCCCCCCCGGCUUCAUCCACAUGGUCCCUCCACCCUACAAAUACUGGAACAUCCCAGGCCUUCAAUUGCUGGGAUCACCUCUGGUUGGUUAGCUGAGUGAAUAACUCAUAUUUUAACUUUAAAAUCCUACAGAUGCUUUAACUGAGAAAUAUAUAUUCUAACCAGGAAAGCACAAACAAUGUACUACGAGUCACCUCCAUACAAUACAUUGCAUCAAGCUACGGAUAAAAAAGUUUAUUUUUUCCUGCAAGAAAUUAUGGGACAAUGUCACACAAACGUAAUGAAGUUUGUUAGAACGCAGCAAGUCGUAAAGAACAGCACAACCACAACACAAGGACGUUCAGGAAAUAGACGUUUUAUGACGCUUUUUAGGGAGGUGCAUUUUUAAGACAGACGCUACCCCCGAAGUGCUGCAGUAAGCCGAAGCAGACCUCAAUAAAACCAUCUGAUUUCAUACAUCACAAGAAGACAUCAUUCCAGCUGCCAUGGAUUUAAUGGCUUGUUAAAGUCCAUACGCUUGGUAUUGUUUAGAAGUCAUCGGUGAAGUGUCAGCCCACCCAAAAUUGAUAUUUUAGUUCUGGUUUGAAGCCUGUAUACUGAGUCCUUCUGGUGCUAUG